GCCAAUUUGGCCGAGUUGGUUAAGGCGUCAGACUCAAGAGAAAUCUUCCUAGGGAACUAGGCGAGUGUUCUGAUCCACUUCUGUGGGCGUGAGUUCGAAUCUCACAGUUGGCA
rnacentral:tRNA from 1 species